rnacentral:rRNA from 1 species
UGCGUAGGUGGGUUGGUAAGUCAGUGGUGAAAUCUCCGAGCUUAACUUGGAAACUGCCAUUGAUACUAUCAGUCUUGAAUAUUGUGGAGGUCAGCGGAAUAUGUCAUGUAGCGGUGAAAUGCUUAGAUAUGACAUAGAACACCAAUUGCGAAGGCAGCUGGCUACACAUAUAUUGACACUGAGGCACGAAAGCGGUGGGGAUCAAACA